AAUAAAAAGAAAGAGGCUGACCAACUAUGCUGCACAUCCAGUCAAGAGAUUGAUUAUUCAUUAAAAAAAAUAGUACACAUUUCAUAAAAAGAAAAUAGUAUAAGACUGCUGCUAAUAGAUAUCAGGCAACGAAAACUAUAACAAUACUAGAGAUGAAUUUACUUCAAGAAACCUAGACUAUCUUGUGUCAAUUCAUUUUGUCUAUUGAAAAUGCAGAAAUGUGUUUAUAUGCUGAAAAUGCAGUACUGUUUCCUAAUGUUGGAAACAUAGAGAUCAUGAACUUUGACUCUUUAAAAAUUAUUUUAAAAUGGACUAAUGGAUUCUAAGCAUAAUGUGUUCAUUUAUUUAUCAAGCAGUAAACAAAAUCUUAAAAAUUUUCUGCAUUUUGGAAAUUUUCCACAAGCAAGUAUGCUCUGGGGAUUCCCAACUUGCAAAAUUUGAGAUGAUAUAUAAAAAUCACAUAGGAAUUGGAACAUGGACACAAACAGCAAUGAGUAACUUACAAUAUUGGAACCAACAAAAGAUA
rnacentral:misc_RNA from 1 species